GCGGUAUCUCUGACCGUGCUAAGGUAGCAUAAUCAUUUGCCUCUUAAUUAGUGGCUAGUAUGAAUGGACAAACGAAAAUCCCUCUGUCUCUAUUAAGCCAAUGAAAAUUAAUUUUCAGGUGAAGAAGCCUGAAUUUUGUUAAAAGACAAAAAGACCCUAUUGAGCUUUAUUCUAUCACUAGAUAACUAUAAUAUAAAUAAAAUUUUUCCUCUUGUAAGAAUUUUGCUGGGGCAGCAAAGGAACAACCUUAAAUUCCUUUUUCUAAAGACCUAUUAGUCUACUUUAAUGAUCCAUAUUUAUGAUUAACAGAACUAGCUACCAUAGGGAUAACAGGCUAAUUUUUCUCUAGAGCUCAAAUUGACAGAAAAGAUUGGCACCUC
rnacentral:rRNA from 1 species